rnacentral:misc_RNA from 1 species
UCGCCCACCCACCCCCGUCCCCACGGGACGGGCGUGCGGUGGGCGGAUAUUGGCCCCCCGUGCACGUCCGUGCUAGGUCGGCCCAAAAAAAGAGUCCCCGAUGACGGACAUCACGACUAGUGGUGGUUGCCAAACCGUUGCGUCCUGUUGUGCAUGCCAACGUUGUUGCGGGAAUGUGACCCUGAAGCGCCGCUGUGGUGGCGCCUCGACCGCGACCCC